rnacentral:tRNA from 1 species
GCCCAGGUGGCUCAGUCGGUUAAGCGUCUGACUUCGGCUCAGGUCAUGAUCUCACGGUUCGUGGGUUCGAGCCCCGCGUCAGGCU